UAAUUUAUUCAGCAUCUCGGUGCUUUGUGGUGAGGGACUUUUCACAUUAUUUACUUGGUAAACUUUCUAUGUAAGUACAGUUUUUUUUUUUCUGGUACUCACCAUGGCUGGAAUGCUCACAUUUUCAACAUAUACCCCAGUAUCCUGAGAACUUCUAGAGUACUAAUUUCAUCUCUGGGGAAGAGGGAUAGAAAUUUUGGUGAAAGCAAUACAAAAAAGUACUAUUGAUUGAAUUCUGGCACUGAACCAGGACUAUGUGUAUGUUACCUCUAGUUCUUAUAACAACCCUGAAAAAAUAGGUGGUAUUAUUACAAUUUUAGGGAAGGAAAAAAAGUUUCUUGCAGUACCCUGCACCUAGCCGGCUAAUUUUUUGUAUUUUUAGUAGAGACGGGGUUUCACCGUGUUAGCCAGGAUGGUCUCGAUCUCCUGACCUUGUGAUCCACCCGCCUCAGCCUCCCGAAGUGCUGGGAUUACAGGCGUGAGCCACCGUGCCUGGCUCCAAGAACAGUUUAAAGACUCCUCAUUGCACUUUUUCUAUCUGUUACAGGUCUUUCCUACUUUGUUCUUUUGUCUCAACUCCACCCUCUCCCUCUUGAAGUAGACCUGAAUUUGUGCCGAUACACAAUUUUUAUCAGACUGGGGUAUCUGAGGUGAGCUCAACCGACCUGUCACUUCAGACUUGGUUUAUAGACUCCUUUAUUGCAGCCCUCUCCUUUUUACUAAUCUGGCAGAUAAACCCAGUCCUCAGAGACAUUUCUCCUCUGUUACCUUCCAUGGUUUGCCCCUUUACUGAGAAUUGCUUGAACCCGAGAGGCAGAGGUUGCGGUGAGGCGAGAUCGCGCCGCCACACUCCAGCCUGGGCGACAGAGCAAGACUCCGUCUCACAACAGCAACAACAAGAGGGCUGGCAUUGGCACUUCAAGACUGUCUUUCCUAUUCUCUUCAAUGUCUCUUUCAGUGAUAUGAAAUUAAAACCAGCUACUGUGAAUGCUCACCUGAUUUUUGGUUAUUUGAGAUGGCUGCCUUUUGUAUGUAGUUAGUUGUUAAAAUUUGAUGUUCCUCCUGGGGGUGAGGGGGGUGACAAACAGUGUAGGCUUCUUCUAUUCCAUCAUCUUGCUCUGCCCCUGUGGCUGCUGCCUUAGUUCAGCAUGCCAAAGUGCCGUAUUUUGGGGUAUUGUUUUCAUGCCCUAACAGUUCCUUGUGGCAGCUUUUGUGUAUCUCUAAUCUAAUGCUUGUCUCAUUGGAUCAUGUUUGUUUACAAGGAUCUAGCACCUACUACAAGUUACUGCCCUAGGUGCAAGCUCUUCCGGGCAUGUCUUUCCGUUCCCUUUCAAUCCCUCUGGCUUAGCCCUUGCCUCCCUAGCCCCUUCCAAAACUGCCUUUGAUAUUGAAUAAACAGAAGAACCCCAAACUAGUUGGUACAUUUUGGUUCAAUGUAAUAAUUAUUUUUUACUUUUUAUUUUUUUAAAGAGACAGGGUCUCCACUCUUUCACCUGGACUGGAGUAUGGUGGCAUGAUCAUAGCUCACUGCAACCUCGAACUCCUGGGCUCAAGUGAUCCUUCUGCCUUGGCCUCUCAAAGUACUGGGAUUUACCAGCAUUAGCCACCAUGCCCAACCAAACAUAAGAAUUUUCUACCAACACUGUCAGAAAGUGGAAUUAGGGUUCUGCAGUGAUCAUGAGUUUCUUAAUAAUGAGGGAUAUUCAAGGAGAGGCUAGAUGACUUAGUGGCUUUGCUAUAGAGGAGAUGGAAUGCCAGAUGUAACUCUUUCUGACCUGUAAUCCCAGCUUGCAAACUAAAUAACAUCAGUGGUACUCAGCUUUCCUUGUGUGUCUACACCAUUCAUAUACUCGCAUCAGCAAUGUGUAGCAAUUUUGUGCUGGGGUGUAUUAGAGAAUAGUAUACUUUUUGUUCUCUUUGAGUAUUCAUGGACUGGACUUUCUUUAUGUCCCUUUUAGUUUAACAGUUCCAAUUUUCUUGGCAUCCUUUCUGAUGUUGUCGUAGGGCCUUAUUUCAAGAGCAUGCUGGUCUGUAGGAUCUGGCUGCUCCUCCACUGAAAGCCCCCAGAAUGCUUUGUUACAUUGUCAGGAAUUUCUGUAUUGAGAUUCUGGAGGUAGAAACAAGAAAUAGUUUCCUGAUCUUUGCUGGGCAACCGUACUUUUGGUAAUACUUGAUUAACUCAAAUCCUCUAUUGCUUUCUAGGAACUUGUUUGACUAGAUUAUAUCGUAUAUCAUUAGCAGGGUGACAGUUACCUACUAAAUUUUGAAGUUAUAUGAAUAAUCUUUAUUUUCAAGAAUCUUAUGAAUUUUAUAUGUUCUGCAAAAACAGGUAAAACUUCAUUCCUCUUUUACUCUAUUUAAAAAAACUGUAAUGGAUGGAUAUAUAUAAUUGCGUGUGUGUAAAAGUAAUAUUAAUAUAUCAAUAUCAUGAUCUUACUGGUAUAUGUUUUUCUAAGAGAAUUUUUAUAAGCAUGAGCCACCGCACCUGGCCUAAAAGUGCAUUUUUUUAAUGUAGCUUUCAAAAGUACAUGUUUUAUGUAACGAAGCAUCCUCUAAUUCUAGCUAUUGAAGUUAGCCAUAUCACUGUUAAUUGUUGCUUUGAGACAAAGUUACAUCUUUAAAAUUUUGUAUCAUGGGAUGCAAUGAAACAUCCUUCUGUAAAGCAAAGGGAUUGACUACCUGAUAAUAUAUUUACUUAUUUAUUUAUUUAUUUAUUAUUAUUAUUUUUUGAGACGGAGUCUUGCUCUGUCGCCAGGCUGGAGUGCAGUGGCGUGAUCUUGGCUCACUGCGACCUCCGCCUUCUGGGUUCAAGCGAUUCUUCUGCCUCAGCCUCCCGAGUAGCUAGGACUACAGGCAUGCACCACCACGCCCAGCUAAUUUUUGUAUUUUUAGUAGAGAUGGGGUUUCACCAUGAUAGCCAGGAUGGUCUUGAUCUCCUGACCUCGUGAUCCGCCCGCCUCAGCCUCCCAAAGUGCUGGGAUUACAGGCAUGAACCACUGUGCCCGGCCUGAUAAUAUAUUUAAACCUGAAUUGCACAACAAGCUGGGCCUUCCCCUUGAUUUUCUAAGUUCCUCACAGACCCUGUCUGUUCCUAGCUCUUUUAUGAUGUUCUAAAACUUUGUCGCUGCUUAUAAAAUGGAGGAGAGACUUACUGGUAAUUUGUUCUGUGUGAGUUUGCAUUAGAUGCUUCUAAUUCAUAGAAAAGUUGAUUAUCCUGUGAUUGGAGAACGAAGACUCAGGUGAGCAGUAAUAGUUUUAAAUACAGUUUUUUACAGCUAGAAUAGUUAUUGGUCUCCUGUGUUGUAGGUAGGACUAUGCAGGAAUGGAUCUUUUCUUUGAGACAGAGUCUUGCUCUGUCACCCAGGCUGGAGUGCAGUGGCGCAAUCUCAGCUCACUGCAGGCUCUACUCUCGGGUUCAAGCGAUUCUUCUGCCUCAGCCUCCUGAGUAGCUGGGGCUACAGGCAUACGCCAUCAUGUCCGGGUAAUUUCUAUAGUUUUAGUAGAGACUGGGUUUCGCUGUGUUGGCCAGUCUGGUCUCAAACUCUUGACUUCAAGUGAUCCAUCUGCCUGGGCCUCCCAAAGUGCUGGGAUUAUAGGCGUGAGCCACCGCGUCUGGCCAGGAAUGGUUCUUGAACCAUUUCUUCCCAUCUUAGAAAAUACUGACUUCUCACUUGCCUUAUUGAAAUGGUUUGGAGAGGUAUAGCAUCUAACAAUACUGCACUUCCAUAGAGCGGACUUGGGAUAACAGUUAACUCCUAAGACAUCAGACAAUGCUUAAGAGGCUUUUACCUGAAGAGAUUAGUAGUAACAUUUCCAUUUAUUCAUCUUUUUUUCUACUUCUUUAGAAACAGCAACCACAAUUUUAAGUCUUCUAGUCAGUGUAGGACAGUGUUUUAUACAUAGGUGCUUAAUAUAAAUAUUUGAUUUAAAACCAAUCUUGUAUUUUUUUAAUUGUUUUCUUUCUUCCCUUCCACUGGUCUUCUUUAAUUUUAACUUUUGGCCGGGCUUGGUGGCUCACGCCUGUAAUCCCAGCACUUUGGGAGGCCAAGGCGGGCAGAUCACCUGAGGUCAAGAGUUUGAGACCAGCCUGGCCAACGUGGUGAAACCCUGUCUCUACUAAAAAUACAAAAAGUGGUGGGUGCCUGUAAUCCCAGCUACUCGGGAGGCUGAGGCAGGAGAAUUGCUUGAACCCGGGAGGUGGAGGUUGCAGUGAGCCGAAAUCACGCCAUUGCACUCCAGGCUGGGCAACAGAGCGAGACUCCAUCUCAAAAAAAAAUAAUCACAUGAGCCAAUUUCCCUAGUGAAUUCCCUCUCAUCCAUCCGUAUCUCUCUCUAUCUGAUCUAUAUCCUAUUUGUUAUGUGUCUCUGGAGAACCCUGACUAAUAUGUACUGUAGAAAAGCCUCCUGAGACUUAGACGCUAUGUUUCCUUUGUUUAAAUGUUGUUGAAUUGAUCAUAGGUAUAAUGCAUUAGAUUUUUCAGAAGAAAGAAAAGGUUUAUUCCACAUUACAUCUCUUCAGAAGCCUACCCAAAGGGGAUAUCUGUUUUGGCUAUUUAUUGCAGUGUAAUAAACUACUCUAAAGCUUAGUAGCUUCAAUUAGUGAUUUAUUAUGUCUCAUGAUUCAGUGGGCUGACCAAGCUGUUCUUCUGGUUCAUGUGGUGUUGGCUAGGUGCUGGAAUGGCUGUGUUCCUCUGAGACUUGGAAGUUAGUUCUUUAUCAUGUUGAACACUAGAUGUGUAUGUGUCUAGUGUCUAAAUACAGAAUGCCUAUAGUUUCUACCAACAAAUUAUGGAUCCAAAUCCUUGCUCCAGAAGCAGGAAAUAGGUUAAUCAGAAGAUUGCUGGAUGUUAUGAAAAGAAUCUUUUAUGGGGGGCUGUUAAGUAGUGAAUAUAUUUAUUUGUAAGACUAAAAGUAGACUCAGAAUUAGUCUGAAAACCACAGUAGUACUGGUUUUUUUUACACCUGUAUUUGCCUUCGUUUUCUUUUCUUUGUAUUUCAUGCAUCUCAGCCUCUUCUCUUUUUGUAUUUCAUGCAUCUCAGCCUAUGCUUCUCUUCAGUGCGUGCCUGUAGUGCACAUAAGUCUUCUAAGGAUCAACUUUGUAACUGAACCAACUGGACUCCUGUCCAGGAGUUUAUACCCUUCUUGGCAUCUCUCCUGCCCAUUUGUUUAAUCUUUCCAACUCAUUUGAUCCUCUAGUAUUAGAGCUGACAGCUGCAGUUGCAUAUGGAGUUCAUAAAGUAGCUGAAUAAUAAAAUGUCAUGACCCAGUUCUUGUAUAGUUUCACUGAUGACUAAAUUGGCAACUCUUUUAAUAUUGAAAUGGGAAUGAUCAAGCUGUGUACUUUUCUUUGGAAGUUCACGUAUAUUCAAUGAGUACUUUUACCUCCUAUGACUUUCCAUAGCAGAAAUGCUACAGACUUAUUUGGCAGGUCAGGUGGAACAUUAUCUUGAUUUUAUAAUUAUCUUGAUUUUACAAGAGGAAAGUUUAUGUACAUUUAGGUCUAUGAUUCAUCUGGAAAUGAUCUGCAUGUAUGAUGAGAAGUAGGAGUGAAGAUUCUUUUUUUGUCCCAUUUGGAGUGACUAUCCUUUGCCCACUAUAUUUUAGUGGCAACUUUGUAAUUCUACAGUUUUGACUAAAAAUUCUGACAUUUGACAUUUCCAGAAUCUAAACUAUCUCAGAUGCUUUUUGUAGUUUUUCUUAAAUUGUCUCAAGCAUGGACUGUGUUUUCUAUUUUAUCUCAGCUAGCAUAGUGAGAUAAAAUAGAAAAUAUAUAUUGUAGGAAAAGAGAUUUUUAUCAGUCUUUUUUUUUUUUUUUUUGAGAUAGUCUUGCUCUGUUACCCAGACUGGAGUGCAGUGCUUGGAUCUCGGCUCACUGCAACCUCCACCUCCCAGGUUCAAGCGAUUAUAUCCUGCCUCAGCCUCCUGAGUAGCUGGGACUGCAGGUGCCUGCCACCAUGCCCGGCUAAUUUUUGUAUUUUUAGCAAAGACAGGGUUUCACCAUAUUGGCCAGGCUGGUCUUGAACUCCUGACCUUGUGAUCCACCCACCUCGGCCUCCCAAAGUGCUGGGAUUACAGGCAUGAGCCACCGCGCCUAGACUUAUUAGUCUUUUUUAAUGGGAUGACAGCAGCUGGGAUGUAUAUAUUCCUGCAAGGAAAGAAAAGGAAAUGGCUUCACAUUGCUGGAUGGGAGCAGUAUGUGUGUUGUUUCUGGGUAUAAUCUUCCUAGCUGCACUUUUCCCAUACAUUUCUUUCUACUAAAAAUCAUGAAAGUUUGAAUUAUAGUUCCUCUCACAGGAUUGAAAGCAAGUAUCAGAGGAGUCAUCCAUUCAAAACACAGUUCUUCCACUGCAGUAUCCGAUAUGUUUUGUAUGUGCGCUAGGCUGUCUUUUCAUUCAGUCUACAAUACAGUUCACCAGUGUGGAGACCUUUUGCCCUGCCUGAUUUGUUUUGUUUUGUUUUACUCACUCUUUUCAAUGACUUUUGGUUUUGGCCAGUAUGAAGAGUAAUGGAUGUUGGAAUACCUUCUGCCAGUUAAAAAAAAAAAAAAA
rnacentral:lncRNA from 1 species